GACGUCGAUGUGGGUGAGCUGGGGAACUCUGUUAACUGUGUAGGGCUUCCUAGCCACUCUCAGGGGAUUCUCUCCAUAACCAGGCUGUCCAUAGCUGGAAUAAAAGAAAGGAUUUCUAGGAGCAGAAUACUUGUAGUAUCUGAAAGUUUGUCUCUAUCCAAUACUGAAAGAUGAUGGCAGGAACAGGGUAUCCUGCAUAGUCUACAUUGAUGUUGAGUCGAUAAUAGACCUCUCUCCCAGUGAUGUAAGUAAUCUACUUAGUUAAAAAUCUACAGUGGAACCUCUGUUAACAACCACCUCCGAAAAAAGUGUGGGGAUAAAGUCAAUCUACAAUCCAGGACCGGGUCCAGAUUGUUGUGAUAAUUGUACUAAGACUAAAGACUUCAUCGUAAGCAUCAUGAGACGGUUGUUCCUUCGUUUACAUAUGUAGCCCAAUAUAUUGCUUACCCCCAACAACACUAAAAUUUCUACACGCAGUACGGCUUUAGCCUUAACCCCCCCAAAAUAUAUGCGUGUAACGAUUUCAUUGUUUUUGUGGCAGUGUGUCAUGUGAUGUGAUUGAGUCUUGAUAAUUAUGAUAAAUAAAGA